rnacentral:rRNA from 1 species
AUUGAACGCUGGCGGCAGGCCUAACACAUGCAAGUCGGACGGUAGCACAGAGGAGCUUGCUCCUUGGGUGACGAGUGGCGGACGGGUGAGUAAUGUCUGGGGAUCUGCCCGAUAGAGGGGGAUAACCACUGGAAACGGUGGCUAAUACCGCAUAACGUCGCAAGACCAAAGAGGGGGACCUGCGGGCCUCCCACUAUCGGAUGAACCCAGAUGGGAUUAGCUAGUAGGCGGGGUAAUGGCCAACCUAGGCGACGAUCCCUAGCUGGGCUGAGAGGAUGACCAGCCACACUGGAACUGAGACACGGUCCAGACUCCUACGGGAGGCAGCAGUGGGGAAUAUUGCACAAUGGGCGCAAGCCUGAUGCAGCCAUGCCGCGUGUAUGAAGAAGGCCUUCGGGUUGUAAAGUACUUUCAGCGGGGAGGAAGGCGAUGCGGUUAAUAACCGCAUCGAUUGACGUUACCCGCAGAAGAAGCACCGGCUAACUCCGUGCCAGCAGCCGCCGUAA